rnacentral:rRNA from 1 species
AUUGAACGCUGGCGGCAUGCCUAAUACAUGCAAGUCGAACGGAAGCAUGAUGUGGCUUGUCCGAUUGCUGUCGCGGCGCGCGCGGGUGUGACAUAUAUCGAACCUAGCUAUGUAGCUGGGGUUAAUUCGUCGAACGAUUACCUAUAACGGCAAAUGUCCUGAGGCUCAUGGUGCGGUACUGCAAGGCCUCAUUCCUUACACGUGGCGGCUGUUUGAUUCCCUAGUUGGUAAGGUAAAGGCUCACCAAGGCGACGAUCAGCAACUGGUCUGAGAGGACGAUCAGCCACACUGGGACUGAGACACGGCCCAGACUCCUACGGGAGGCAGCAGUGGGGAAUUUUGGACAAUGGGCGAAAGCCUGAUCCAGCAAUGCCGCGUGUGUGAAGAAGGCCUUCGGGUUGUGAAGCACUGUUGUCCGGAAAGAAAUGGCUCUGGUUAAUACCUGGGGUCGAUGACGGUACCGGAAGAAUAAGGACCGGCUAACUACGUG